AAACCUAAUGAAAGACUUAGUAAGUUUAUUUAUUCCAAUGUUUUUGUUUUCUCAGGCUGUUGGUAGAACUUACAGUGGCCUUCAGACACUCCCUGAGAAAUCUGCUAUGAUACUAAAGUCUAUGGAGUAUUUAGGUGAUGUAUUAAAAGUAUGUAAAACCUUACCUGAAGGCAAAAGGACCUCCAGAAGGUUUGCAGCUUACUUAUUGGAUCAUAGGAUGUCUUGUAAAGAACUGGGCAGCAAUACUGGCCACUUCCAAAGCACAGCAACUCCUGUUCCGCAUCAUAGAUUGCUUGCUGCUGCCCCACUCUGUGCUCCAGCAGGACAAAGAGCUGCCUGCAGCUUUGCUGUCUGCCAUUCAGGAAAGCCUACCUCUUUAUCUUCAGGGCCUAUCCUUUAUAUGUUGCCAGACCCAAACUCAGGGGGCCUAUUUAAAUCAACUGCUUGGGAGCAUUAUUCAGCAUUAUUUUGGACGAUUUCUCCCUUCUUCACCAACUGCACUUGGAGUUGGACAGCAUCCUUUGCUGACUGCUUUAUGCAGCUCCAUUACAGUCCCCCAGAUGCUCCGUCUACGGAAGACCACUCUGCAUGUCAUAAAGUAAGGCCCAGUGAAGAACAAAACAUCACUUACUCAGAUUUCACAAACAGCUAAUGAGAAAGGGAAUGUCACUGUUGUUUUCUCAUAAUCAUAAUGUUGUUUUCUCAUUUCUCAUAACUGAUAGUUAUGCUGGGUAGGGAGCCAAGGAAGGGCAAAGCAUAUAGAGCAGGAAGGUAAAACUGAGAUUUGGAAACCAGUGAGAGAGUCACUGAGGAUGGAGGUCCUAGACUAUAAUAAAAAAUAUCUCAUAUGGCCACAUGAAAAGCAAGCAUGUUUCCUAAAACAUCGCACUCCAAU
rnacentral:lncRNA from 1 species